CCAGACUCCUACGGGAGGCAGCAGUGAGGAAUAUUGGUCAAUGGUCGGGAGACUGAACCAGCCAAGCCGCGUGAGGGAUGAAGGUACAGAGUAUCGUAAACCUCUUUUGUCAGGGAACAAAGGCGGGGACGUGUCCCCGGAUGAGUGUACCUGAAGAAAAAGCAUCGGCUAACUCCGUGCCAGCAGCCGCGGUAAUACGGAGGAUGCGAGCGUUAUCCGGAUUUAUUGGGUUUAAAGGGGACGCAGGCCGGCUUUUAAGGACGGCGUCGAAAGCCGGGGCCCCAACCCGGGCCCGCCGUUGAAACUGGCAGUCUCGAGUUGGAGAGAAGUAUGCGGAAUGCGCGGUGUAGCGGUGAAAUGCAUAGAUAUCGCGCAGAACUCCGAUUGCGAAGGCAGCAUGCCGGCUCCACACUGACGCUGAGGCACGAAAGCGUGGGUAUCGAACAGGAUUAGAUACCCCGGUA
rnacentral:rRNA from 1 species